AUACGGAAGGUGCAAGCGUUAAUCGGAAUUACUGGGCGUAAAGCGCGCGUAGGUGGCUUGGUCAGUCGGGUGUGAAAGCCCCGGGCUCAACCUGGGAACUGCAUCCGAUACUGCCAGGCUCGAGUACGAGAGAGGAGAGUGGAAUUCCAGGUGUAGCGGUGAAAUGCGUAGAGAUCUGGAGGAACAUCAGUGGCGAAGGCGGCUCUCUGGCUUGAUACUGACGCUGAGGUGCGAAAGCGUGGGGAGCAAACAGGAUUAGAUACCCCGGUAGUCC
rnacentral:rRNA from 1 species